ensembl:lncRNA
CCCAGGAACAGGAAUGCCAAGUGUGCUUUCAUUUCAGACGAUUUGAUUAACCUUUUAUUAAGUCUAUGAAAAGCUAUUGAACCAACUCAGACACCUUGAGUUUCAAAGACCCUAUCUUUUUUUUCUACGUGCAGGAAGCCUGCAAUUCUGGGCAGCUUCCAAGGCUCACUGCUCUCAUGAACAUCCAGGUCUUGCCGGGGUGCAGAUUGCAGAGCUGAGUUGCCCUUUGACGGGAACAAAAGCCAUUUCAGCUGGUGCCACUCAAGCCAGGGGAUAAAGAAACUGAUCCCAAAGCCAAUGUGUGGACAAGCUGGGGCAAGGACCCUGGGUCUGGGUUGUGUGUCCUGGAAGGCCAAGAUCUGGGCCUUUGAGCAGGUGUACUCAUCAUUCAGUCUGCAGCUGCCUGUCCCUCUGCCAUGGGGAACAAUCACCCAGGGAAGCAUGUCCUCUGCUUAUAUCCCUGACCCCUUCUGCUCCAGUGAAGCAUGAAGCUUUUGGGCAGUGCUUGGUGCUGGAGCGUCUGUAAGGCCAUUUUCUGCUCUCAUUCAUUCUCCUGCAGUCUAGUGAAAGAGCACAUAUGAAAGUCCUCUCUUCCCUAUCCAUGCAAGGGUAACAUUUUCAUGAAAACUCACAGGAAUUUGACUAUUGCAGAUUCUCAUUUCCUGUCAUGCUUGACUGAAACCAGCCAGCAGUUUCAAGAGCUUCUGUAUGGGCAGUACCUGACCUUGCACAAUUUGCUUCCAUAGAAAACCAAGGUUAAGCAAACCCCGAGUUGUCCUGAGUGCCUUUGCAGAAGAUGACAUUUCUUCACUUGUCCCUUUUUCCUGGAGCUCCUUAGAAGUGACUGAGCUCUUAUAUAGCCUUUUCUUUCUGGUCUUCCCAAAAGUACUUAUCUGAAGUAUCUGAAUAUGCUUGCAAGCUGCUGUUUUUCUUCAGAAGGCUGUGGUAGCAUCAGUGCCUGGCAACACAGGGACCAUUUCCUCCAAAGAAAAAGCAAAAAGUUCUUCCAAGAAGGCCUGAAAUAUGUACAGCUUGAAAUCUCCUUCAGGAAUGUAAUUUAUGGUGCUUGUUUGGACAGGAGGGGAAUAUCAGAUAUGCAUUUUUAUCUACUCAACCUGCACAUCUCUUUCUACAAUCCUUCACCUAGAAUUAUAUUUUAGUAUCACAACUGAAAAUGUGCAUUUAAUCUCUGUGGUGUCUAUAAGACUCUUCAGGCUCCUCUGAGGUCCUCUGAAGCUGUGAAGUGUUUCACAAUAUAUCAAGAGGGAUUUCCAAGACAAAGAAGAAUGAGUUACAGAUAAAGUUGCAUCCUAUUGAUACACUCAUCAUCUGGGAAGAAGCCUGCUGGAUCAUUGCUUCCCCAUCUCUCUGUAGCCUGCUGUCAACCCAGUAGUACACAACCCUACUGAACUCAAAGCUGCAAGAUUCUCAGCCAAGGAAGAGUGCUUCACCGUGCUGUGGGUGUGCUUGACAAGUUCCACUAACAAUGGGAUGCUUUCACUCAUUUACCUGCAGUGACUGACCUUGGCAUGUGAGCAGCACUGGCAGCAGGACCCCUCCAGAGGCUGCUCUCCCAGCCUUCACAGUGAUUUGGACUGGUCUUCAUGUUG